CUCAGCCUUGGUUGUUAACGAGGUUAAGAGCAGCAAAGCCUGAUGAGAAACUUUCCUAUUUAUACAUUUCGGGACUGCAGGAAGUGCUAUCUUCUUUAUCCUGGCACUGAUUUUAAACAAGACUGUUUAAAAGAAGGAGAGACUGGGACAGGCCACUUGAGACUUUCUUGCAUGAUGCCUCUAUUCUGUGCCAUUCACAUGAUCAAAGAUAGUGGAAACAUGGCGACGCUCAUAAUAACACUGCUGCAAGCAUCAUGCAACUGCAAUGCGAGAUCUUGUGACUAUACUUCUGGUAAAUUCAGAGUGGGACAGAAGGACAAUCCCUGGGAUCAUUGCACCUGUGGCACACUAAGAGGCUAUUGACUCUUUUUUUCCCAUCAGUAGCAGGGGACAGCUUUGUCAUAGGGAGGUAGAAGACCAGCAACAGGACGGCAUACCGGUAGCAUUCUGCUUCUCUGCCAGUUUUCCACCUCCAUGCAAUAAAAUCCUCAGUCAGAGACUCAAUCAUAUAUUGCUUGCAUUUUGUCCAAGGAAGUAUGACUGUCUGUCAGUGCCGUAGGUAUUAUGGAUGGAGAUGCGGACAUUGCCCCAGA
rnacentral:lncRNA from 11 species